CUCUUGACUGUCUCAACUGUAGACUCGGUGAAAUCCUGGUGAGGGUGAAGACGCCCUCUUGGCGUGAUUGGACGGAAAGACCCCAUGAAGCUUUACUGUAGCUUAAUAUUGGGAAAUUUUAUUACUUGUAGAGCAUAGGUAGGAGACUGUGAAGUAUACUCGCUAGGGUAUAUGGAGUCAACGUUGGAAUACUACCCUUGUGAUAAGAUUUCUCUAACCUGCAGCCAUGA
rnacentral:rRNA from 1 species